UCAAUUUGUCUCCCACCAAUUCUAUCCGCCCUCACUAUCCAUCAGUCCUCUUUCCAUUCCAUUAAUCCUAUCAUUCCUCCAUUCCAUUAGUCUCUCUCUUUGUCCCCAUCUAUAAAUCCUCCAUUCCCAGAUGCUCAGUCCUCCCCCAGGAUUACGAUAUUGAUAUCCAGAAGAAAAGAAAAAAAACAGCCUUGCAGUUGUAUUUCCACAGGGAAACCAUAACAUUUGGAGUACAAGUGUUAUCACCAGUCAUAAGUCUUCCUCAGAAGCCAGGUCAGUGCUGCUGACCAAUAUGAAAAUCAACCCCCAUGUGUUCCAGUGAGGAUCUAUAAAGCUCCUAGGCUCAAGACACGGGCACUUUUGCAGCCUUCUGCCACAGGAAUAAAGAGACAAAGCUUGGGCUAGUGGACUGUUACCUGAGCUGGAAACACUGUCUACUGGAACCAUUCCCAUGACUGACUGCAAAUUGAGAGCAGGAAUGCAAGAAGCCAGCUGUCAAGGACCCACCUGUUAACUGUAUAAGAGCCCAGGUCUUCACUUUCAAGGCCUAUUCCUACCCUACCUAUCCUAUCUUGUUUCAGGAUCAAGAUGUCAAAUCCCAUCUCUAAUCAGCCAAUGGUGCCAGCCUCUAGUGCUCAGGAGUUAAAUUUUCAAACAAGUACUUUCAUGCUUUCUCCCGUGUUGCCCCUCAUGCAUGGGAGAAGCUCCCAAUAUACAGGCACAAAACUAAUUCAUUACCUGCCUUCAACACUAUCCUUAAAAAAAACUCUCCUUUGCUGUGAUGCCUACAAAAAACUUGUCUAUGGUGAGGGUGCUGGUGAGCUGAUAUCACUGCAUAUCAUGCUAACCAACACUGUCUCUGUUUCCUUAUACUCACCAUCUGUUUGUAAGCAUCUAUUGUCCCUUGUCUUUUACCCAGAUGUAAUCCUCUUGGGCCAGGGACCAUUUUUUUGUUCUGCUUGAUUGUGUUAGGCACUGCACAUGUCUUGGUUCCUGACUAGGGUUCCUGGGCACUAUAAUAAUAAUAAUAAAAAAAAUAAUAGGGUGCAGGUGUGAAGGUGAGGGAGAGGGCAGAUUUGGGAUCAUGCAGACUUGACAGCACAUUAGUUCUUCUCUUCUACCCUGUACUUCCCACUCCCCAUCUAAUCAAAUGCCCUCUGGGUAGGGAAACACCUAUUUACCUCAGUUUCUUUAGAGCUGAAAGGUUAGCCAAUAGUCUAUUCAGUGAGCCAGCUUUCAAAAUCCUGGACUUGAGAAACAAUUGGAAAGAGGAGCCAUCGUAGUCCAGUCAGAUCAGCAUAUUGUGUUAUCACGAGUCUUUUUUUAAAAUGGCCUAGCCAUCCCACUCCUACCCUUGGAGUAGGUAGGAGGGUUGUGUUGAAACUCGCAAUCAGUGGAAAUAGAGAAUACAGAUAACUGCCAAUAUCCAAAACAUUAGAGCACAUUGCUAUAUUACUUUGCUAAUACAUGGUUAUACUACUUGACCUUAGCUAUUACUGAGAUGGGUACUCUAGGUACAAUUAAGAUAUAUACAUUAUAGGGGUACCAGGGAUGUGCAAAUCAGAUGGACUGAAAUAAGAACAGACUUAAACCUACUAUAGAGAUUCUAGCUGCACCCCUCUGACAAAUAGUGUUGUAGCUGUGUCAGUCCCAGAAUAGUUGAGAGACAAAGUGGGUGAGAUAAGAUCGUUUAUUGGACCAGCUUCUGUGGUGAGACACACGAACUUUCGAUCUUAGCUCAAUGUAAGCUCCAAAGCUUGUCUCUCUCACCAACAGAAGCUGGUCCAAUAAAAGAUAUUACCUCACCCACCUUGUCCCUCUAAGACCAGAAAAUGACACAUUGCCCCAAAAAUGAGUUAAAGAUCACAGUAAGAAUGAGGAAAAACUUCGAUCUUUCACACAUCUUAUUGUAGACUUGACAAUGCAGUCUACAAUGAUCUUUCUCCUUCAAUGACUUUAAUUCAUAAUUCAUUAAUUUAAUUCAUUUAAUUCAUUACUGUCAGUGACCAAACAAAUAUGCCAAGGGAAAGCCUCGUGAAAUAAUGAAAACAGGAGCUAACCUAAAUAUAAAUAAAAUAAAACAAACAAGUUAGACAUACAGUUCUAGAAAUGUAAAGGAAAAAACAACAACCUUGAAAAAAUAAUGUAUUGGUGCACUUAUCUCUACAGAAGGAAAUGAAGAGUGGAUGAAGUAAUACCAACAGUAAGCAUGUAUCUAAUGGCUCAGCAGACCUGUAGGUCUGGUACAUUUCCAUACACAGAGCAAUUCUAUGCCUCUUGAACAUACAGUUAGUGCUUUAGUUAAUUAUGAUGGUGGCAUAUGAUAUUUUUACCAAACAAAAGGAAAGACUGACAUUCCAAAGGUAGUGCCAUGACCUUCAUGGUAGAGAAGAUACAGGACACUAUUAUAGGGGCCAGAGUCAAAGCCCACUAAAGUCAAUAAUAAAUAUAAAGCCUUAUUGAGACUGCAGGACACAGUGAUCCUGUAGUAUUUUAGGCUCCCUAACUGCCUGACUAAACAGAACUGUCCUUAUUGAAAAAAACAUAUAAAUUAUAAUAGGAAAGAAACCAAUGGGGUGCUAAGAAAUGUUAAAAGAUUCUAAAGACCUAAAAGAACUUAAGAAUUAUAUCCUUCCUAUAGAAUUUUAAUCAACCUAUAGUACCCAAUAAAGAAUUGUAGCCUUAUUAUAGAAUUCAAUAGAUUAAAAAUUCUGCAUGUGGGCUAUUAAACUAUUAUCUAUUUAGUUUUAUGAUACUUUUCCAGAAAGUUGUGACAUAAAACAGCAUGCAAAGUCUUGUUAAAUUCUAGCCUGGAUUAAGCACUCAUUGAAGGAACUGCGGAUUAUACUAACACAGUGGUAAGUAACAGCCAGCAUGGAUUUGUCAAGAACAAAUCAUGCCAAACCAAUCUAAUUUCCUUCUUGAACAAGGUAACUGGCCUAGUGGAUAGGAAGGGAGCAGGAGAUGUGAUGUAGCUGGAUUUUUGGAAUUUUGAUACAGUCCCACAAGCAGGGCUGGC